rnacentral:rRNA from 1 species
GACGAACGCUGGCGGCGUGCUUAACACAUGCAAGUGGAGCGACGAACCAGGGCUUGCCCUGGGGCAGAGCCGCGAACGGGUGAGUAACACGUGGGUAACCUGCCCCGAUGACCGGGACAACCCGAGGAAACUCGGGCUAAUACCGGAUGUGCUCGCGUCACACAAGUGACGUGAGGAAAGGUAGCUUCGGCUUCCGCGUCGGGAUGGGCCCGCGGCCCAUUAGCUUGUUGGUGGGGUAAUGGCCCACCAAGGCUGCGAUGGGUAGCUGGUCUGAGAG